AUUGAACGCUGGCGGCAUGCUUUACACAUGCAAGUCGAACGGUAACAGGGACUUCGGUCUGCUGACGAGUGGCGAACGGGUGAGUAACAUAUCGGAACGUGCCCAGUAAUGGGGGAUAGCUCGGCGAAAGCCGGAUUAAUACCGCAUACGCCCUGAGGGGGAAAGUGGGGGAUCUUCGGACCUCACGUUAUUGGAGCGGCCGAUAUCAGAUUAGCUAGUUGGUGGGGUAAAGGCCUACCAAGGCGACGAUCUGUAGCUGGUCUGAGAGGAUGAUCAGCCACACUGGGACUGAGACACGGCCCAGACUCCUACGGGAGGCAGCAGUGGGGAAUAUUGGACAAUGGGGGGAACCCUGAUCCAGCCAUGCCGCGUGAGGGAAGAAGGUCCUCUGGAUUGUAAACCUCUUUUGGCAGGAAACAAACCUGCGCUAUACGCGCAGCUGAGGGUACCUGCAGAAUAAGCACCGGCUAACUCCGUGCCAGCAGCCGCGGUAA
rnacentral:rRNA from 1 species